CCUCGGCUUGAUCCCAGAUGAGAUCCUGUGGAGGCGCAAAGAAGCAUUCAGUGAUGGUAUGAUGUCUGUGAAGAAGUCCUGGUACACGUGCCUGCAGGAGCAUGUAGAAGCUAUGGUGAAUGACGACCAGAUGGAGAACACUCACAAGACGUUCCCUCACAACCCUCCACACACCAAAGAGGCAUACUACUACAGACAAGUGUUUGAGAAGCACUACCCAGGCCAAGCAGAGUGGCUCCCUCAUUACUGGAUGCCCCGCUGGAUCGACGCCACCGACCCAUCAGUGGGUGUGUGAGCAGUUCAGGACUGGUAUUAAAAUGCAAGCAAAUCUGUUUAGUCACAUGCAGAUGAAAUAGAAGACCAAAGACCUUGGGCCACAAUAGUUACAUCCAGUUAACCCUGGCAAAUAUAAAAGCUAGACUGAUGUAAUAUUAUGUUUUAUUCAUUGAAUGUACAAUGCAAAUAAAUAUUACUUAAACACAUGAUAUUCAGUUUUUUGUUUUUUUUUUACCUUUAUUGCUCUCAAACAUACUUUCCAACCUGCCAUGCAAAUACCAGACAUUGUUAAGAUGCCCUGAUCAAGGACCGGUGCUAUUGAUUUGUGAUAUUAACUAUAAACACCUUUGUGGUAGCCAAAAGAAAUGGCUAAAGAUUUUUUUUAGCCAUCUUCUAAAGCAUGCCAUUUAUCGUGCCUUAGUUUCCAAGCUUCCUGGCAGCCACUGGUUUCAGUUAAUGUCAUUACUUUACAAAAUGAAAAUUAACCUGCAGAGACUUGAAACUUGCUUGAGACAGAUAAUCUGCCACAACAAAUACAUCGUCAUCUUUAGGGUAUAGUUAGGUUUUAGAUAUAUUAUAGUGCUAAAUUCGACUGAGCAGCUUACAGGGCCGUGUGACUGUGAGGUCUGCUGUCAGAAGCUACCUGACCCAAUUAAAACAUGACUGUGAGCUGAAGUAGUCUGAGAUGUGAUGCACUGCCAUGACAGUCUGUGUGCUGUUACAACAGCCUUUUGGCUGUGUCAAGAAGUGUUUGUAAUUUUUUUAUUUUCAAAGGGAAAAACUGAUUAUCAGCUUCAGUGUCAUUUCCUUUAAUCCCAGACAGGUUUGGGUGCCGUUUAUUUUCUUGUUGAGGGCUACAGUAUUUGUUCUGAAAUUGAACUGAGUUCAGCCGCAUUUCCUGCUGCUACUACUUGGAUAUUGUAGCCUCAUAAAGUACUGUCGUCAUGAUAAAUGGUUGCAAUCAGCCUAUUGCUUAACCACACAGUGACCAGUUAGAUGUCUAUUCUCCUAACCGACCUCACUUGUUCAUCUUUUACCACUAAUGGAUUAUCUAGAGCUGCUAAUAAUUAAAAAGGCUGAUGCUCCAACUUGUUGACUAGCAGAUUAUGCAAUGUGUGUGAGGGACAUCUUGACAGUUGUUAUGGGUAGAGGUGAGUCAUGUGUGAUCCUUUCACACUGAUAAAUGCCAUCUCUGCUGGUUCUUUUCACUUGGAAAUAAAUCUUGGAUUGGGACUGGUUAUGCAAACUGACAUUUGUGUGUGUGACAAUGUGGUGAUACAUGAUUUGCCAUCUAUCUAGAUGAUUUCAGUUACAUUAAUAUGCAGAAGAACUUUGAUCUUUUAAUUGAAUUUCCAGUGAACAUAUAUCUGAUAAAAAGUUACAGUAACAUAUCAUUUUACAAGUCUGUAAAUUCCUUUUUUAAGAUCAUUUCCUAAGAUAUGGUCAUAAGAUGACCCAUAUCAUUUGGAACAAAUUACAGUAUAGGUAAAAUUAGAGAGUGAUCGGUUGGUACUCGUAGUUAUUUCUAAAUGCUAAGCUAGCACAAACCUGAGGCCUUUAAUCGGAGGACAGGAGGUGAGCUACACAUGCUAAGGAUGAAAUCUGUUGACAAGCAACUAUACAACUCAGCAAAGAUGAAGAAUAACAUUUCAAAUAAUAAAUGAAUAGUAAAUAUUAACAGCGGUUUAAAUUGAGCAAUUUUUUUUCAUAUAAACUCAUCUGGAAGCCAAUAACAAAUCUCACUCACUAAAAGUGUCUAUUUUCCUGUAAUUAAUACCAAACUGCAUGGUUCUUUAGGGGAACUUAGUAUCAUUACCAAAGUUACAUACAAUCAAAUAUUUUUUAAAUAGUACUUUGAGAAAACUUCAGGCAGUGGAAGAAAUAUUACCUGACAACAUACUGCGGUACAGCACCACUCACUGUAGUCUGAAACUCGAACACUACAAAAUCAAACGCUAGAAGCUUCACAAAGAGCUUUCAGCAGGGUGCUUGUGUUGGAUGGCACUUUUCAGUUCUAUACAUUGGUUCACUCUCUGUCUAGCAUAGCCACUGUCUGCCUCUCACCUUCUAGUAACUGUCUGUGUUUCACACUUAUUGCAGCUAAAAUAAAUCCAUCUCUUGGCACUUAAAUUUGGUUUCCUCAUGCCUCGGUCCACCACCAGGCGGCACCCUUGCAUCACCUGCACUAAUGGUUUUGUCACCUACUGGACGUAUCACAAGGAAUCUGCAAAUUGCAAGCUGAGAUUAAACCAGUAAAGAAAAUCAUUUUAAUAUUUGUCAAAGCACGGUAACACACAGGUGUCUUGUCAUGUCAAAUUAUGUGACCAGAUGGAGAAUAUGGCAGCUCUUCUAAAGUCACUUAAAUGUCCAAAUGAGAACAUGUCAGUGUGUUGUAUUUGUAGCACAAUCAGUUAUGAAGCACUACACAGUGAUUUUAGCAGUGCAAUUUUCAGCAUACCCUGGGGUACAGCCUUGCUUUGAUGGUCCACAACAACAUUUAGUCUUUGUGCCAUGGCAGAUGGUAGAAAACGCUCACAGAAACCACUAACACUGACAAUAACACAAUUCCCCCUCUUCUCACCCCACAAUGCCUUCACUUGGGCAAAUGAAUCUGGCACAGUACAGUGCUGCUACAAUGUGGAAACAAACAUUUUAUUUGACUAACAGCUAUACACAGUUUUGAGAAAACAAACCAAUGUGGGGUUCC